CAAUAAGCGGAGGAAAAGAAACCAACAGGGAUUGCUCUAGUAACGGCGAGUGAAGCAGCAAUAGCUCAAAUUUGAAAUCUGGCGUCUUCGACGUCCGAGUUGUAAUUUGUAGAGGAUGCUUCUGAGUAACCACCGACCUAAGUUCCUUGGAACAGGACGUCAUAGAGGGUGAGAAUCCCGUAUGCGGUCGGAAAGGUGCUCUAUACGUAGCUCCUUCGACGAGUCGAGUUGUUUGGGAAUGCAGCUCUAAAUGGGAGGUAAAUUUCUUCUAAAGCUAAAUAUUGGCCAGAGACCGAUAGCGCACAAGUAGAGUGAUCGAAAGAUGAAAAGCACUUUGGAAAGAGAGUUAAAAAGCACGUGAAAUUGUUAAAAGGGAAGGGAUUGCAACCAGACUUGCUCGCGGUGUNCCGCCGGUCUUCUGACCGGUCUACUCGCCGCGUUGCAGGCCAGCAUCGUCUGGUGCCGCUGGAUAAGACUUGAGGAAUGUAGCUCCCUCGGGAGUGUUAUAGCCUCUUGUGAUGCAGCGAGCGCCGGGCGAGGUCCGCGCUUUCGGGCUAGGAUGCUGGGCGUUUU
rnacentral:rRNA from 1 species